rnacentral:rRNA from 1 species
GGGGGGCUUACACAUGCAAGUCGAGCGGGGGAUGAUUGCUUCGGUAAUCUGACCUAGCGGCGGACGGGUGAGUAAUACUUAGGAAUCUGCCUAUUAAUGGGGGACAACAUCUCGAAAGGGAUGCUAAUACCGCAUACGCCCUACGGGGGAAAGCAGGGGAUCACUUGUGACCUUGCGUUAAUAGAUGAGCCUAAGUCGGAUUAGCUAGUUGGUGGGGUAAAGGCCUACCAAGGCGACGAUCUGUAGCGGGUCUGAGAGGAUGAUCCGCCACACUGGGACUGAGACACGGCCCAGACUCCUACGGGAGGCAGCAGUGGGGAAUAUUGGACAAUGGGGGGAACCCUGAUCCAGCCAUGCCGCGUGUGUGAAGAAGGCCUUAUGGUUGUAAAGCACUUUAAGCGAGGAGGAGGCUCCUGUGGUUAAUACCCAAGAUGAGUGGACGUUACUCGCAGAAUAAGCACCGGCUAACUCUGUGCCAGCAGCCGCGGUAAUACAGAGGGUGCGAGCGUUAAUCGGAUUUACU